CGGAGGGAUCAUUACAGGACGUCAUACUCCCGUAAUACCACUGUGAAUCUUACCUACCGUCGUUGCCUCGGCGGGCGCCCCGGGGGGGAAACCCCUCUGGAGCCCGCCGGCGGCCCGCAUACUCUGUCUCAGCGUGUUGGCAUCUCCGAGUAUUAUACAAACGAGUCAAAACUUUCAACAACGGAUCUCUUGGUUCUGGCAUCGAUGAAGAACGCAGCGAAAUGCGAUAAGUAAUGUGAAUUGCAGAAUUCAGUGAAUCAUCGAAUCUUUGAACGCACAUUGCGCCCGCCAGCAUCCUGGCGGGCAUGCCUGUUCGAGCGUCAUUUCAACCCUCAAGCCCCCGCGGCUUGGUGUUGGGGGCCUGCGCGUCGCAGCCCCCUAAAGACAGCGGCGGGCGUGGCCUGGCACCGAACGUAGUAGACUCUCUCUCGUUCGCGGUCCAGGGCGCGCUCCGGCCGGUAAACCCCCCAUCUUUACAAUGGUUGACCUCGGAUCAGGUAGGAAUACCCGCUGAACUUAAGCAUAUCAAUAAGCGGAGGAAAAGAAACCAACAGGGAUUGCCCCAGUAACGGCGAGUGAAGCGGCAACAGCUCAAAUUUGAAAUCUGGCCCCCCGGGUCCGAGUUGUAAUUUGCAGAGGAUGCUUCGGGUGCGGCGUCGACCAAGUCCCCUGGAACGGGGCGCCAUAGAGGGUGAGAGCCCCGUCGGGUCGGCCGCCAAGCCUG
rnacentral:rRNA from 1 species